CGUAGAAAUAAGGAAAGAAACAAAGAGAGAAAAGGAAAAGAGGGAGAAGCGUGGAAAACGAAGGAAGAAGAAGACGAAAGAAGAAAAAGAAGAGAAGAAAAAAAGGAAGAAGAAGACGAAAGAAGAAAAAGAAGAGAAGAAAAAGAGAAGAAAAGACGAAGAAAAAGAAAAGAAAAGAAGAAAACGAAAGGCGCGGCCCUUCAAUAAAAUGAGACGCAUUGCGUCUUGCGAGGCAUUCAGCCUGAGGCAGAGCCUCUCUUUCUCAGUUUUCCUCUUUUGAUUUUUCGUACAAAAAUCAUGAUCUAUGAAGAUCUAGCCGUUCAAUUUCAAAUCUGACUUCGGUAACGUGAUAUACGAAACCCGAUCUACGUUUCUACCGAUUGGUUUGAGAAAAAGGAGCUAAGAAACUAUACAAGAAGAGUAAAAGCUUGAUCCCGAUGCUAAUGGAAAGUCCAAGUUAUGAGCAGAGCAACCUAGGCGGCCGGGAUGGGAUCUAGGAAUGCAUUAGAACAUUGCAUUUAUAUUAUCUUAAUAAGUGCACUUGCACAACAAAUUCAGCUUUUCUUUAAAUUCUCAGUUAUUGAAUCUUUCGUAAUUAAAUUUUCGAAAUCAUCGUUUCCGCAUUUA